UACGGGGGGCGCAAGCGUUGUUCGGAUUUACUGGGCGUAAAGGGCGCGUAGGCGGCCAGCACAAGUCAGUUGUGAAAUCUCCGAGCUUAACUCGGAAAGGUCAACUGAUACUGUGCGGCUAGAGUGCGGAAGGGGCAACUGGAAUUCUUGGUGUAGCGGUGAAAUGCGUAGAUAUCAAGAGGAACACCUGCGGCGAAGGCGGGUUGCUGGGCCGACACUGACGCUGAGGCGCGAAAGCUAGGGGAGCGAACGGG
rnacentral:rRNA from 1 species